rnacentral:tRNA from 1 species
UAAAUUUUAGUUUAAGUAAAAUAUUUUUUUUACAAAAAAAAGAUAAUUAUUUCAUAAUUAAAUUUAU